rnacentral:misc_RNA from 1 species
UUUCCGUAGGUGAACCGGCGGAAGGAUCAUUAUUGUAUAACCGAGGUGCGAGGGCUGUCGCUGACCCGUAAGGUCGUGCACGCCCGAGUGCUCUCACACACAUCCAUCUCACCCCUAUGUGCACCACCGCGUGGGUCCCCCUUUGGCUUGUUCGGAGGGGGGCUUACGUUUUCACACAAACUUUGUAUGCAGUGUAGAAUGUAUUUUUUGUUUUUGCGAUCACGCAAUCAAUACAACUUUCAACAACGGAUCUCUUGGCUCUC